AUUGAACGCUGGCGGCAUGCUUUACACAUGCAAGUCGAACGGUAACAGGCCUUCGGGUGCUGACGAGUGGCGAACGGGUGAGUAAUGCAUCGGAACGUACCCAGAGGUGGGGGAUAACGCAGCGAAAGCUGUGCUAAUACCGCAUGUGAUCUGAGGAUGAAAGCGGGGGACCGAGCAGCAAUGUUUGGCCUCGCGCCUUUGGAGCGGCCGAUGUCGGAUUAGCUAGUUGGUGGGGUAAAGGCCUACCAAGGCGACGAUCCGUAGCUGGUCUGAGAGGACGACCAGCCACAAUGGGACUGAGACACGGCCCAGACUCCUACGGGAGGCAGCAGUGGGGAAUUUUGGACAAUGGGCGCAAGCCUGAUCCAGCAAUGCCGCGUGCGGGAAGAAGGCCUUCGGGUUGUAAACCGCUUUUGGCAGGAACGAAACGGUGUCCGCUAAUACCGGGCGCUAAUGACGGUACCUGCAGAAUAAGCACCGGCUAACUACGUG
rnacentral:rRNA from 1 species